AUUGAACGCUGGCGGCAGGCUUAACACAUGCAAGUCGAGCGGAGAUGAGGUGCCUGCACCUUAUCUUAGCGGCGGACGGGUGAGUAAUGCUUAGGAAUCUGCCUAUUAGUGGGGGACAACAUUCCGAAAGGAAUGCUAAUACCGCAUACGUCCUACGGGAGAAAGCAGGGGAUCUUCGGACCUUGCGCUAAUAGAUGAGCCUAAGUCGGAUUAGCUAGUUGGUGGGGUAAAGGCCUACCAAGGCGACGAUCUGUAGCGGGUCUGAGAGGAUGAUCCGCCACACUGGGACUGAGACACGGCCCAGGCUCCUACGGGAGGCAGCAGUGGGGAAUAUUGGACAAUGGGGGGAACCCUGAUCCAGCCAUGCCGCGUGUGUGAAGAAGGCCUUAUGGUUGUAAAGCACUUUAAGCGAGGAGGAGGCUACUGAGACUAAUACUCUUGGAUAGUGGACGUUACUCGCAGAAUAAGCACCGGCUAACUCUGUGCCAGCCGCCGCAGUAACAC
rnacentral:rRNA from 1 species